rnacentral:rRNA from 1 species
UACGGGGGGAGCAAGCGUUGUUCGGAUUUACUGGGCGUAAAGGGCGCGUAGGCGGUCAGCACAAGUCAGUUGUGAAAUCUCCGGGCUUAACUCGGAAAGGUCAACUGAUACUGUGCGACUAGAGUGCAGAAGGGGCAACUGGGAUUCUCGGUGUAGCGGUGAAAUGCGUAGAUAUCGAGAGGAACACCUGCGGCGAAGGCGGGUUGCUGGGCUGACACUGACGCUGAUGCGCGAAAGCGUGGGGAGCAAACAGG